CAAAGCUGCCCCUGAAGCAAGCAUCCCAAUACAGGAUGUCCCUUAAAUAGGUUGAGUAUGGAUUCUGGCGUGGCUGAAUGUUGAGCUCACCCCAAGCAUGGUCUGCAGGCUCCUUGGCUCCCAGGAAGCGGUGAGCAGCAAGAGAACUACCAGAACAUUGGUACCUUGACUUCUGAUGUGUGAUGGAGGGAAACGUUUGGAUCUUCUCAGGAGGAUGCAAAUGAAAGCAUGAAGACUUCAGACAUCACAGAGGCUCAGAAAAAACUCAGAAAAAGACAGAGAAUGAGAGAACAGAAGAAGUUGAAGCAGCAGAAUCUUCUUCUAUGAGAUAUUCUUUUUGAAAUUUAUGCAAAGAGAAUGCAGCUUUGUAAAGGGAGCUGAGCAUAAUCCCAAACACUGAUGAGAAUGCUUGGACAAUGAAGGUAACUGUUAAUUAGUGUGGAAAACAGCAAAAAAGACCUGCCAGGAGGAUUUCAGAACCCACCAGACUGCAGCCUAACAGUUAGGACAUGCUUGCGUGAGUUUAACUGUUCUUGGUUAAGAGACAGACUUAAAAUCUCUGACUCUUGGAUUAAAAAAAAAAAAAAAAAAAAAAAAAAAAGAAGAAGAAAAAGAAGAAAAAGAAAAAGAAAGACCGGAUAAAAUGGAAAUAGAAACAAAACACUUCAAUUUGCUGAGAAUGAAAUCUGUGCAAACACUUUUUGUAAUCCUCAACUAGAUUCAGAGAAAUGAGUGGUUUUUAAACCCUGACAGUGUAUAAAUAUAAAUUACAUGCUUAGCUGCUCAGUGCCAUCAAAAUGUGCAUGGUUCUGGGCAUACCCUGAAGGAGACAUUUAUCUGCUGGUAGAAGUUGACUGGUGGAAGUGCAAUCACUUAAGGAACCAUUUCUGUUAAUGCGAAGGCUGCUGUUGAUGACUGCCUGCUGCUUUCUUCUUCGGGACUGACUGCUUGGCUGACUUUGAACUUGUUGGUUGGGUUUUAUAAGAAAAAAUGUAGACGUUUACAGCAUAGAGGCAGCAGUUAUUGGCCAAGGUGCAGGUGUUCCAAUUCUGCGGCAGAUGAUUUUGUAUCUCCAUUUGCUCAAUUUGUUAAUGCAAAAGACCCUGACUUUCAAAAGGCAAACUACCUCGGCAUGGCUCCAGCAACGUCUUCCUUUAUAAUUCAAG
rnacentral:lncRNA from 1 species